CAGAGGGGGGUGGAAUUCCACGUGUAGCAGUGAAAUGCGUAGGGAUGUGGAGGAACACCAAUGGCGAAGGCAGCCCCCUGGGUCGAUACUGACGCUCAUGCACGAAAGCGUGGGUAGCAAACAGGAUUAGAUACCCUGGUAGUCCACGCCCUAAACGAUGUCAACUAGGUGUUGGGAGGGUAAAACCUUUUAGUGCCGUAGCUAACG
rnacentral:rRNA from 1 species